rnacentral:rRNA from 1 species
GAUGAACGCUGGCGGCGUGCCUAAUACAUGCAAGUCGAGCGGACGGACGAGACGCUUGCUUGUCUGAUGUUAGCGGCGGACGGGUGAGUAACACGUGGAUAACCUACCUAUAAGACUGGGAUCACUUCGGGAAACCGGAGCUAAUACCGGAUAAUAUUUUGAACCGCAUGGUUCAAAAGUGAAAGACGGUCUUGCUGUCACUUAUAGAUGGAUCCGCGCUGCAUUAGCUAGUUGGUAAGGUAACGGCUUACCAAGGCAACGAUGCAUAGCCGACCUGAGAGGGUGAUCGCCCACACUGGAACUGAGACACGGUCCAGACUCCUACGGGAGGCAGCAGUAGGGAAUCUUCCGCAAUGGGCGAAAGCCUGACGGAGCAACGCCGCGUGAGUGAUGAAGGUCUUCGGAGCGUAAAACUCUGUUAUUAGGGAAGAACAUAUGUGUAAGUAACUGUGCACAUCGUGACGGUACCGAAUCAGAAAGCCACGGCUAACUACGUG